rnacentral:rRNA from 1 species
GACGAACGCUGGCGGCGUGCUUAACACAUGCAAGUCGAACGGAAAGGCCCUGCUUUUGUGGGGUGCUCGAGUGGCGAACGGGUGAGUAACACGUGAGUAACCUGCCCUUGACUUUGGGAUAACUUCAGGAAACUGGGGCUAAUACCGGAUAGGAGCUCCUGCUGCAUGGUGGGGGUUGGAAAGUUUCGGCGGUUGGGGAUGGACUCGCGGCUUAUCAGCUUGUUGGUGGGGUAGUGGCUUACCAAGGCUUUGACGGGUAGCCGGCCUGAGAGGGUGACCGGCCACAUUGGGACUGAGAUACGGCGCAGACUCCUACGGGAGGCAGCAGUGGGGAAUAUUGCACAAUGGGCGGAAGCCUGAUGCAGAAGCGCUGCGUGCGGGAUGACGGCCUUCGGGUUGUAAACCGCUUUCGCCUGUGACGAAGCGUGAGUGACGGUAAUGGGUAAAGAAGCACCGGCUAACUACGUG